UAGUAGAGUCGUGUUGAGCCACGUAGUGUAGUGUGUCAACUUUAAACUGUCUUUUGUCGUACUGAUUGUUGUUUGUGGUGCAGGGAUAUGUUUUCGAGGUAUAUUUUCGAGGACGAAAAUUCUUUAAGUUGGGGAGAGUUGUAACGCCCCAAUUUUAUUUAAUUAUUUUUAGUUGAUUUAAAGUCCUUUAUAUGAUUUUUAAAU
rnacentral:lncRNA from 1 species